GUAGGGAGCGAGCGUUGUCCGGAAUUACUGGGUGUAAAGGGAGCGUAGGCGGGACUGCAAGUUGGGUGUCAAAUCUACCGGCUCAACCGGUAGCCGCACUCAAAACUGCAGUUCUUGAGUGAAGUAGAGGCAGGCGGAAUUCCUUGUGUAGCGGUGAAAUGCGUAGAUAUUAGGAGGAACACCAGUGGCGAAGGCGGCCUGCUGGGCUUUUACUGACGCUGAGGCUCGAAAGUGUGGGGAGCAAA
rnacentral:rRNA from 1 species